GAUGAACGCUGGCGGCGUGCCUAAUACAUGCAAGUCGAGCGAACGGACGAGAAGCUUGCUUCUCUGAUGUUAGCGGCGGACGGGUGAGUAACACGUGGAUAACCUACCUAUAAGACUGGGAUAACUUCGGGAAACCGGAGCUAAUACCGGAUAAUAUUUUGAACCGCAUGGUUCAAAAGUGAAAGACGGUCUUGCUGUCACUUAUAGAUGGAUCCGCGCUGCAUUAGCUAGUUGGUAAGGUAACGGCUUACCAAGGCAACGAUGCAUAGCCGACCUGAGAGGGUGAUCGGCCACACUGGAACUGAGACACGGUCCAGACUCCUACGGGAGGCAGCAGUAGGGAAUCUUCCGCAAUGGGCGAAAGCCUGACGGAGCAACGCCGCGUGAGUGAUGAAGGUCUUCGGAUCGUAAAACUCUGUUAUUAGGGAAGAACAUAUGUGUAAGUAACUGUGCACAUCUUGACGGUACCUAAUCAGAAAGCCACGGCUAACUACGUGCCAGCAGCCGCGGUAAUACGUAGGUGGCAAGCGUUAUCCGGAAUUAUUGGGCGUAAAGCGCGCGUAGGCGGUUUUUUAAGUCUGAUGUGAAAGCCCACGGCUCAACCGUGGAGGGUCAUUGGAAACUGGAAAACUUGAGUGCAGAAGAGGAAAGUGGAAUUCCAUGUGUAGCGGUGAAAUGCGCAGAGAUAUGGAGGAACACCAGUGGCGAAGGCGACUUUCUGGUCUGUAACUGACGCUGAUGUGCGAAAGCGUGGGGAUCAAACAGGAUUAGAUACCCUGGUAGUCCACGCCGUAAACGAUGAGUGCUAAGUGUUAGGGGGUUUCCGCCCCUUAGUGCUGCAGCUAACGCAUUAAGCACUCCGCCUGGGGAGUACGACCGCAAGGUUGAAACUCAAAGGAAUUGACGGGGACCCGCACAAGCGGUGGAGCAUGUGGUUUAAUUCGAAGCAACGCGAAGAACCUUACCAAAUCUUGACAUCCUUUGACAACUCUAGAGAUAGAGCUUUCCCCUUCGGGGGACAAAGUGACAGGUGGUGCAUGGUUGUCGUCAGCUCGUGUCGUGAGAUGUUGGGUUAAGUCCCGCAACGAGCGCAACCCUUAAGCUUAGUUGCCAUCAUUAAGUUGGGCACUCUAAGUUGACUGCCGGUGACAAACCGGAGGAAGGUGGGGAUGACGUCAAAUCAUCAUGCCCCUUAUGAUUUGGGCUACACACGUGCUACAAUGGACAAUACAAAGGGCAGCGAAACCGCGAGGUCAAGCAAAUCCCAUAAAGUUGUUCUCAGUUCGGAUUGUAGUCUGCAACUCGACUACAUGAAGCUGGAAUCGCUAGUAAUCGUAGAUCAGCAUGCUACGGUGAAUACGUUCCCGGGCCU
rnacentral:rRNA from 1 species